rnacentral:rRNA from 1 species
UGGGGAAUAUUGCACAAUGGGCGAAAGCCUGAUGCAGCAACGCCGCGUGAGUGAGGAAGGCCUUCGGGUUGUAAAGCUCUGUCUUUUGGGACGAUAAUGACGGUACCAAAGGAGGAAGCCACGGCUAACUACGUGCCAGCAGCCGCGGUAAUACGUAGGUGGCAAGCGUUGUCCGGAAUUACUGGGCGUAAAGAAUGCGUAGGUGGAUAUGCAAGUCAGAUGUGAAAUACCCGGGCUCAACUGGGGUGCUGCAUUUGAAACUAUAUAGCUAGAGUGCAGGAGAGGAAAGCGGAAUUCCUAGUGUAGCGGUGAAAUGCGUAGAGAUUAGGAAGAACACCAGUGGCGAAGGCGGCUUUCUGGACUGUAACUGACACUGAGGCAUGAAAGCGUGGGGAGCAAACA